rnacentral:lncRNA from 1 species
UCUUCGCAGCUUGGGCUGGCAAGGACAAUGGAGUCAUUGCCGGCCUCGCUGGCGGCACCCUAGUGAAGCAGCUGGUGAUGGCAUCCGCGGAUCUGAUGCACGACUUCAAGACAGGACACCUGACCUUGACAUCGCCGAGGUCCUUGCUCGUGGCGCAAUUUAUCGGGACAGCCAUGGGCUGCAUCAUUGCGCCUCUCACGUUCUUGCUCUUCUACAACGCGUUUGACAUCGGGAACCCCAACGGUUACUGGAAGGCGCCAUACGGGUUGAUCUACCGAAACAUGGCGAUCCUUGGUGUGGAGGGUUUCUCUGUGUUGCCCAAGCACUGCCUUGCGCUCUCCGCUGGGUUCUUCGCGUUCGCGUUUGUCUUCAGUGUCGCCCGGGACGUCCUACCGCGGAAGUACGCGAGGUUUGUGCCCCUACCAAUGGCGAUGGCUGUGCCGUUCCUUGUGGGUGGGAGCUUCGCGAUUGAUAUGUGCAUUGGGAGUCUGGUUGUCUUUGUUUGGAACACGAUGAACAAGAAGGAGGCUGUGUUCAUGGUGCCUGCGGUUGCGUCCGGGUUGAUCUGUGGAGACGGCAUAUGGACCUUCCCAUCUUCCGUGCUCGCUUUGGCCAAGAUCAAACCACCGAUUUGCAUGAAGUUCACGCCUGGAAGCUAGAAACAUUAUGGACAGUUCGUGAAAUUGUAGAAUGUGAGUGAGAUUCAGUGAAGGCAUCAAGUGUGAUUAGUGGUAGUGGACAUAAUAAGUUGAAGCCAUGUCGCCUGUAUUAUCUUUGUUGUGUAUGUGUGGGUUCUCCUUCUCCGAGAGCCACAAUACUUGAGAUUUCUAGAGCUGAUAUGUUUUUCAUCAUGUUGGGUUUAACCUAUAUUUAUGUUUUGGAAAAAAAGAUUACUACAAUAUUGUCUAACGGAAAUUAAUGCUCAUUUUUGUAUUUACAUUCUUUCAAGAUUUUAGCUACUGACUUGUAUAAUAUGCUGCCCACAAUAUGAAUUCAUAGAUUAGGAAGUAAAUCUAGUCAGGGUUAAAAGUGUAGUUGUGCAUUCACAGUUUCACACAAUGUCACCAUCUAGGUAAAUUCUUUUUAACUAAGGGUGUGUUUGCUAGUGAUUUAAUUCUUGUAGAAAUAUUUUAGAUCUAGAUUUUUUUAAGAAACAUUUCAGAUAACGUGGCGAGGUGUCACCUGGCGCUUGGCUGCUGGCCUAACAUGGAUGCCAGGUCAAACUAGCAUAGGAGAUGGUUCUACCUCCCCAACAUUGCCCCGAUGCUGCCUCCUUAUUCAUCGGCCAGGCUAGGAGACGAGGUGCCACCAGCCCGCCUGCUCCUCCUUUGGAGGUGAAGGGGUGGAUCCAACGGCCUAGGCACCAGGUUCCUCAUUGGUGGCCGCGAGAGCCUCGGUCGUGAGGGGGAAGUGUUCUCGGCACGGACCUUUGGUGGAUGAGAGGCUCAUUCCAUUGAGCAUUCGACUAUGCCAAUCAUGCCGGUGACUCCUUCUAGGCAUAUUUUCUUCUUUUGUCGAGUUCAGUCCUUUUCUAGUCUGUGCUUCGAUUCCACCAUAAUGUGCAGGGCCUUCUUGAUGGGACCGCCUCUUGGUGGCGUAGGCCAGUCUACUGCUGCCGCUGGCUCCUCAUCACGGCAUCGACUGACGUCGCUAGCUACCAUUGUGGUUCACCUGCCGUGGCAGAGCCCUCUCGUCACCCCUCCAUGGUCCUCUAGCUUUGAGGAGGGGGGCUUGCUAGGCGUCAUCCCCCUGACAAGGGAGCAUGACGAGGCAUGUGUGCCACAUCACCGCUGGCUACCUCGCUUCGCUCAUGCAUGCCAUUCAACACAUGGCUUAACAAUGUUUCGAGUGCAUGCAAAGGUGUUCUUUUAUAUUGCCUAAGAGCAUAUACAAUAAUGGACUUAUAGUCAAGCUAAUGUUGAUUUGGAGGAGAAAAGACAGGAGAGAGAUGAUAGCUUGGCUCUCAUGUAAGCACUAAGCUACGCACGGAUGCAUAGGUAGUGGUGGCCCAAAUAGCAAGUAUUGUAAGGAGGAAUCGAAAAGAGAAAAUGUCUUAGAGACAAGUAUGAAACAACUUACUGUAUAACUUGGCUCUAAUCACUUGGCUUAUAGUCAACACUUGACUCUAUUAUUAACCUUGCUCUAAGCAGUAAUACUCAAUGGUGUACAUGUGCGAGGAAAACCAACAAUAGCGGCACAAAGGGGAACUAAAAUUGCAAAAAUCAAUGACAAUGAAAGAACACAUAAUUUUCAAUAAUGGAACACAGAAAGGAACAGUAUAUGUUUCAAUGGCGUUCAAGGAAUUUUUUUAUAAAAUAUAUAUACCUAGAAAAACUAAAAUAACGUAUGAUUUAGAACGGGGAGUAGUUUUAUAUUGUACCUGCUACAAAAGUCGGUCUAGGCUCUUCAUAUUUGGACAAAUUUCAGGGUUUCAUUUUGUAGAGUAUACACAGGCACUUAGCUUUUUUUUUUUUUGAAACGAGGGUACCGGCCUAAUGAUAAUAGGACAUGAUUCCCCGAUAACCUGCGUUCAAAAGAAAUUCCAUCAAUCUGUACGAGAUGAAUUAUACACAGAUAUGACGGCAAGAAAAAUGCUGCUACCGAUCAACUCGCUCGAGUCGCUUUCCUUCUUCCCCUAACAAGUCUCUCGACAGCUAAUAAUGCGACGACUAGAAAAUUUCUUAGUAUUUUUUCUGCGGCGAGAAUACUUCAGGGUUUGGACUAGUGAUUGUAAGUGAGAUUUUCAGAUAACGAGUGAUUCUAAGUGACAUGGCAUAGUUGACAUUUGAAGGAUUUUUCUAUAUAUAAAUCCCGGCUACUAACAUCUAAACCUCACCAUCUUCUGAUGCAGCUCACCGCCUUGGGGUUGCGCUUGUAAGCAUCGGCCUCUACGCUUCUCGUGAGGCAGGGAUCGAGGCCGCCAUGGACCGCGCGCGGAGCGGUGCCGCUGCCGCUGCCACGGACGAUGAAGAGAUCGAGAAGCACGAGCCGGUGCCUGAGGACAUGGAGUCUGACCCGGCGGCGGCGCGCGAGAAAGAGCAGGUGCCGCCGUGGCGGGAGCAGGUGACGCUGCGCGGCAUGGUGGCGGCGCUGCUGAUCGGCUUCAUGUACACCGUCAUCGUCUUGAAGAUGGUUCUCAGCACGGGGCAGUUGCCCACGCUGAACGUCUCGGCGGCGCUGAUGGCGUUCCUCGCGCUCCGCGGGUGGACGCGCGUGCUGGAGCGCCUCGGCGUCGCGCACCGCCCCUUCACGCGGCAGGAGAACUGCGUCGUCGAGACCUGCGCCGUCGCGUGCUACACCAUCGCCUUCGGCGGUCAGCUGCUCAGCUCAGCUCAGCGCGGGAUGCACGCCGGCGUGACGGUUGCCGUUGACUGAUUCGCGCGCGCGUGUGUGCAGGUGGGUUCGGCUCCACGUUGCUGGGCCUGGACAAGAAGACGUACGAGCUGGCCGGGGCGUCGCCGGCCAACGUGCCAGGGAGCUACAAGGACCCUGGAUUCGGCUGGAUGGCUGGAUUCGUCGCGGCGAUCAGCUUCGCCGGCCUCCUAAGCUUGAUUCCUCUCAGAAAGGUGCAGCACACACACACUCUCUCUUCUUCAUCUGCUAGACAAAGGGCUUGUUUGGCACAGCUCAACUUCACUAGUAAAGCUGUUUUUUUAGAAAAUAGCUUCAUGAGUGACUUUCUAGAUGAAGCUGAGCUGUUUUGGAAAAAGUGUUUGACAAAAUAGCUUCACCAACUACUUCAUACAUAGUUGAGAGAGAGAAAUGAGGGAGAAGCUGCAAUAAGCUACUUUUUUCCAGCUUCAUCCAACUUAUGUCUCUUCACACAUGAAGCUGUUUUGGAAAUAAGUGUUUGGCAAAAAAAACAGCUCACAACAGCUCAUGAAGCUGUUGUGAGUUAUACCAAACAGGCCCAAAGUAUAUAACCAGUUCGUUUGACCUUAUCGCCGAAUCUACUAGCCAUUUAGCAGUAUUUUUUUUAUCACAAUGAAUCAGUCAACAUUGCGCUCUCUCUCUUUCAAAUUAUAAGAGCUUUUCACGAAACAUUUUUUUUCUAUAUACCUAGAUAUAUAUAAUGUGUAGAUACAUAUUAAAAAAUAAUAAAAAAGCUAUAGCAUUUUAUAAUUUGAGCGGAUGGAGUAAUUUUGAAUGGAGGAAGCAUUUUCCAAGGGUUUUCUUUUUAUCAUCUUUAAAGAGCCAUUUAGCCUUUCAACAGCUACGGUGAGAAGAAGCAUACCAAUGGAGGCACAAAAUGGAAACUAAGGUUGCAUGCCUAUAUAUAUUCUUGAAUUUUUCAUCAUUCUUCCAAAAACCAAAAGACCUAAUGUAAUCCUUUUCUUUUGCCACUGACCCAUGACCUAAUGUUUUCGACAUUGUCACGGUCUUUGAAAUACAAUUGUGUGAUAGUAUGUUAUGAGACUGGAUAACUAGAUGGAAUUCAGAGUGGGAAUAGCAGAUAUUUGAGUAGGAUUAGCAAGAACAGAGUUGAGGAAGGGUGGAACAUGGCAGGAACCGUGGGUGAGGACGGCGACGAAGGUUGUUUCUCAGUUUGGAAAUGGCUAUUCUUUCUUAUGUCUCACGCCACGUCUGUCAGCUUGUAUCUCCGCUGGGAACGUUACUAGGCCGCAGCGGCCAAGUCCAUCUUUACUCAGCUAACUAUGGCCCAAGGCCCAUUACAUGACAUAGUUUUUUAUGAAACAAUUACAUGACAUAGUAAUAUUUAAAUAAAACAUGGCAAAAGAAUAAUUGCAUGGAACUAUAUUUCGAGACCAAUCUAUUAUAUCAUUUUCAAAUGGUUAAACUCAACAUAGAAUUUAAAAUUUGACUUCUGAAAACCCCAAAAUGUCAAUUAUUAGUGAUUGGAACGAAUACAAUGUGUAAAAAUCUAAUGAAAAAUAUGUUAGUUUUCAGUUAUCUAUAAUGCUACUCGUUUUACAAGACAUUUACAGGUUUUGGUCAUAGACUACAAGUUAACUUACCCAAGUGGAACUGCAACUGCUGUUCUCAUAAACGGUUUCCACACCAAGCAAGGAGACAAGAAUGCAAAGUAUGAAUUUCAUCACCCCACCUCUCUUAGGUUAAUAUUGUAUUUUGCUAGACUGUGAUAUCAAGCAUCCCUUGAUGAUGAUGAGUUAUUCACCCAAGUGAACUAACUUAAUUUCCAUGACAAGAUGCAAGUCCGUGGGUUUCUGAAGUACUUUGGGCUCAGCUUCAUAUGGAGUUUUUUCCAGUGGUUCUACACAGGCGGUGAUGUUUGCGGUUUUGUUCAGUUUCCUACAUUCGGUCUGAAGGCUUGGAAGCAAACGUAAACAUCCGUACUCUGCUGCUUCAAAUAUCUCUAUAAUUUGCAGCACGCAACACCAUCUAAUUCUCGAUUUCUGGGUGUCAGUUUCUUCUUUGAUUUUAGCCUCACAUAUGUUGGUGCGGGAAUGAUUUGUUCUCACCUUGUGAACAUCUCCACCCUCCUUGGUGCGAUCCUGUCAUGGGGGAUACUAUGGCCACUGAUCAGCAAACAAAAAGGAGAGUGGUACCCUGCAAAUAUACCAGAAAGCAGCUUGAAAAGCUUAUACGGUUACAAGGUUUCAUCACACUCUUCUUUUUGUUCUUGCUUAUUACAUUUUUUAGAAAAAUAUUGGUAAUCAUGUGUCAUUAAACAUGUCCUUACCCCCCUACCUUCUAGGCCUUCCUCUGCAUAGCUCUGAUCAUAGGAGACGGUAUGUACCACUUCUUUAAGGUCUUUGGUGUCACUGUUAAGGGCCUGCAUCAACGGCUAAACCAGAAACAUGCUAGCAAUAGAGGUGAGAAAAAUGAAAAACACCACAGACCUAGUUCUAAUACAUAACUUCCGCCUUUCAUCAUUGAGAGAGAUGGGGUAACCUGCUGCUGUUGACUAAAUGAACACAGUGGCAAAUGGCGGGGAUGAAAUGGUGCCACUUGAUGAUCGACAACGUGAUGAGAUCUUCAACAAUGGUUCUUUCCCCGCCUGGGCAGCUUAUGCCGGAUAUGCAUUGCUGACUGUCAUUUCAGUGAUCACCAUCCCACAUAUAUUCCGGCAAGUCAAGUGGUACUACAUCAUCGUGGCCUAUGUCCUCGCCCCUCUUCUCGGUUUCGCCAAUUCCUACGGGACAGGGCUCACCGACAUCAACAUGGCCUACAACUACGGCAAGAUCGCGUUGUUCAUCUUUGCAGCUUGGGCCAGUAAGGAAAAUGGUGUCAUCGCCGGUCUUGCCGGCGGCACCCUAGUGAAGCAGUUGGUGAUCGCAUCUGCUGACCUAAUGCAUGACUUCAAGACAGGCCACCUGACCUUGACAUCGCCGAGGUCUCUGCUCGUGGCGCAGUUCAUCGGGACAGCCAUGGGCUGCGUCGUCGCGCCUCUCACGUUCUUGCUCUUCUACAAC